GGGUUGUGAGGUUAAGCGACUAAGCGUACACGGUGGAUGCCCUGGCAGUCAGAGGCGAUGAAGGACGUGCUAAUCUGCGAAAAGCGUCGGUAAGGUGAUAUGAACCGUUAUAACCGGCGAUGUCCGAAUGGGGAAACCCAGUGCAAUUCGUUGCACUAUCGUUAACUGAAUACAUAGGUUAACGAGGCGAACCGGGGGAACUGAAACAUCUAAGUACCCCGAGGAAAAGAAAUCAACCGAGAUUCCCCCAGUAGCGGCGAGCGAACGGGGAGCAGCCCAGAGUCUGAAUCAGCUUGUGUGUUAGUGGAACGGUCUGGAAAGUCCGACGGUACAGGGUGAUAGUCCCGUACACCAAAAUGCACAGGCUGUGAACUCGAAGAGUAGGGCGGGACACGUGGUAUCCUGUCUGAAUAUGGGGGGACCAUCCUCCAAGGCUAAAUACUCCUGACUGACCGAUAGUGAACCAGUACCGUGAGGGAAAGGCGAAAAGAACCCCGGCGAGGGGAGUGAAAAAGAACCUGAAACCGUGUACGUACAAGCAGUGGGAGCACCUUCGGGUGUGACUGCGUACCUUUUGUAUAAUGGGUCAGCGACUUAUAUUCUGUAGCAAGGUUAACCGUAUAGGGGAGCCGCAGGGAAACCGAGUCUUAACUGGGCGUUAAGUUGCAGGGUAUAGACCCGAAACCCGGUGAUCUAGCCAUGGGCAGGUUGAAGGUUGGGUAACACUAACUGGAGGACCGAACCGACUAAUGUUGAAAAAUUAGCGGAUGACUUGUGGCUGGGGGUGAAAGGCCAAUCAAACCGGGAGAUAGCUGGUUCUCCCCGAAAGCUAUUUAGGUAGCGCCUCGUGAACUCAUCUUCGGGGGUAGAGCACUGUUUCGGCUAGGGGGUCAUCCCGACUUACCAACCCGAUGCAAACUACGAAUACCGAAGAAUGUUAUCACGGGAGACACACGGCGGGUGCUAACGUCCGUCGUGAAGAGGGAAACAACCCAGACCGCCAGCUAAGGUCCCAAAGUCAUGGUUAAGUGGGAAACGAUGUGGGAAGGCACAGACAGCCAGGAUGUUGGCUUAGAAGCAGCCAUCAUUUAAAGAAAGCGUAAUAGCUCACUGGUCGAGUCGGCCUGCGCGGAAGAUGUAACGGGGCUAAACCAUGCACCGAAGCUGCGGCAGCGACCACUAUGUGUUGUUGGGUAGGGGAGCGUUCUGUAAGCCUGCGAAGGUGUGCUGUG
rnacentral:rRNA from 1 species